CCCCAUGUAAAUUUUCCGGUCCAAUGCAUGAUUUCUUGUCCACACCAUCAAGCCUGCGAGGACAAUAGCCUUCAGACAAAAUUAUGCCUGACUCUCCAGGACCAAUGAGCGCAGUGGAGUCACUGCUACUGACUGUGCAGUGCCAAAUUGACAACCUGGAGAUUUGAGGCAGACAUGAGAACUUUAGGGUUAGAGGCCUUUCAGAGCCUGACGAAGCCCAAUUAGCUGUUACGCUGGAGACCUUGGGUACAGAAGCCCUGCUGGAGAUCCAGUUUGACAUGGUGCCUCCUCAACAAGAUUGCUGCCCGUGAAAUGCUGUAUGUUGC